rnacentral:rRNA from 1 species
UACGAAGGGGCUAGCGUUGCUCGGAAUUACUGGGCGUAAAGGGCGCGUAGGCGGCUUAUAAGUCGGGGUGAAAGCCUGUGGCUCAACCACAGAAUUGCCUUCGAUACUGUAUGGCUUGAGACCGGAAGAGGUAAGUGGAACUGCGAGUGUAGAGGUGAAAUUCGUAGAUAUCUGGAGGAACACCGGUGGCGAAGGCGGUUCUCUGGGCAUUACCUGACGCUGAGGAGCGAAGCGUGGGAGCAAACAGG